CUGUGUAUAGGAAGUUAACUAGUAUUGAGACGUUAACUGAGACCAAGGUACUCCCAUAUCUCACAGAAAGUCCGCUUUAAAGUGGCCGAGUGAGAUACGGUGGAACCAAGGACUCUAGGUUAACCCUGAAAUUUUGUUGUGAUAUUUGUGU